UACGUAGGGGGCAAGCGUUGUCCGGAAUCAUUGGGCGUAAAGAGCGCGUAGGCGGCCCUGUAAGUCCGCUGUGAAAGUCAAGGGCUCAACCCUUGGAUGCCGGUGGAUACUGCAGGGCUAGAGUCCGGAAGAGGCGAGUGGAAUUCCUGGUGUAGCGGUGAAAUGCGCAGAUAUCAGGAGGAACACCAAUUGCGAAGGCAGCUCGCUGGGACGUUACUGACGCUGAGACGCGAAAGCGUGGGGAGCAAACAGG
rnacentral:rRNA from 1 species